AAGCAACACUCUAUGGCAGAUGAUCAAAACUGCUGACACAAUUUGAGCUUGUUACAAUAGAGUCUAACCAAUUUGGGUGCUCUCUCCUCUUUGAAACAAGCCAUUGUAUAGACUUAGUAUU